AUACAGAGGGUGCGAGCGUUAAUCGGAAUUACUGGGCGUAAAGCGCGCGUAGGCGGCUUAUUAAGUCAGAUGUGAAAUCCCCGGGCUCAACCUGGGAACUGCAUCUGAUACUGGUAAGCUAGAGUUUUGGAGAGGGAAGUUGAAUUUCAGGUGUAGCGGUGAAAUGCAUAGAGAUCUGAAGGAAUACCAGUGGCGAAGGCGACUUCCUGGCCAAAAACUGACGCUGAGGUGCGAAAGCGUGGGUAGCAAACGGGAUUAGAAACCCUAGUAGUCC
rnacentral:rRNA from 1 species